CCUACGGGAGGCAGCAGCAAGAAUUUUGUGCAAUGGGGGAAACCCUGAAGCAGCAACGCCGCGUGAGGGAUGAAGGCCUUCGGGUUGUAAACCUCUUUUCUCAGGGAAGAAUAAUGACGGUACCUCAGGAAUAAGUCUCGCCUAACUACGUGCCAGCAGCCGCGGUAAU
rnacentral:rRNA from 1 species